GAUGAAGAACGUAGCGAAAUGCAAUAAGUAAUGUGAAUUGCAGAAUUCAGUGAAUCAUCGAAUCUUUGAACGCACAUUGCGCCCGCCAGCAUUCUGGCGGGCAUGCCUGUUCGAGCGUCAUUUCAACCCUCGAGCCCCCCCCGGGGGCCUCGGUGUUGGGGGACGGCACACCAGCCGCCCCCGAAAUGCAGUGGCGACCCCGCCGCAGCCUCCCCUGCGUAGUAGCACACACCUCGCACCGGAGCGCGGAGGCGGUCACGCCGUAAAACGCCCAACUUUCUUAGAGUUGACCUCGGAUCAGGUAGGAAUACCCGCUGAACUUAAGCAUAUCAAUAAGCGGAGGA
rnacentral:misc_RNA from 1 species